GAUGAACGCUGGCGGCGUGCCUAAUACAUGCAAGUCGAGCGAACGGACGAGAAGCUUGCUUCUCUGAUGUUAGCGGCGGACGGGUGAGUAACACGUGGAUAACCUACCUAUAAGACUGGGAUAACUUCGGGAAACCGGAGCUAAUACCGGAUAAUAUUUUGAACCGCAUGGUUCAAAAGUGAAAGACGGUCUUGCUGUCACUUAUAGAUGGAUCCGCGCUGCAUUAGCUAGUUGGUAAGGUAACGGCUUACCAAGGCAACGAUGCAUAGCCGACCUGAGAGGGUGAUCGGCCACACUGGAAGUGAGACACGGUCCAGACUCCUACGGGAGGCAGCAGUAGGGAAUCUUCCGCAAUGGGCGAAAGCCUGACGGAGCAACGCCGCGUGAGUGAUGAAGGUCUUCGGAUCGUAAAACUCUGUUAUUAGGGAAGAACAAAUGUGUAAGUAACUGUGCACAUCUUGACGGUACCUAAUCAGAAAGCCACGGCUAACUACGUG
rnacentral:rRNA from 1 species